rnacentral:rRNA from 1 species
UACGGAGGGUGCAAGCGUUGUCCGGAUUUAUUGGGUUUAAAGGGUGCGUAGGCGGCUCUUUAAGUCAGUGGUGAAAUACUGCAGCUCAACUGUAGCAUUGCCAUUGAUACUGAAGAGCUUGAGUACAGAUGAGGUAGGCGGAAUUUAUGGUGUAGCGGUGAAAUGCAUAGAUACCAUAAAGAACACCUAUUGCGAAGGCAGCUUACUAGCUAGUAACUGACGCUGAGGCACGAAAGCGUGGGGAAGC